rnacentral:lncRNA from 1 species
ACCAAAUCCACUCUUUACACUUGCUAACAAACAGAAUAAAAGACCGCAGGAGCCACCAUGCGGGCAAUUCCAUCUGCGCCUGCGAAAAGUGCGGGGCGAGCGCAGGGCUCCCCAGGCUGCGACCUGCCCCGCCUUCUCUUCUUCUUUCCGGCCUCCCCCUGUGUGGUUGUCUUGUGUUAUUUUUAAUCAACGCAGCCCUAGAAACACAAAUGAGCCGCUCUGGCCGGUCCUCAGCCUGAGAAACCGUCAUUUGUUGCAGGCCUGGAAGAAAACCUGAUUAUAUUGGAUUUAUCGAGAAACGCACUGGUCGCCAGAAUGGCCACCCCCUGGAAGGAAGUUUUAAGGGUGGCAUUGAGGUUCCAUUCCCCUUGGCAGUAUUCCCUGGACUGGGGAUGGAACCAGGGUAAAGGCAGCGAUGCCUCGGGCGCCCCGUCUAUUUCCGGUGGAUAAUGUCACCCUCCGCCGCCUCCUAAGGAGCCGUCUUGCCAGCUUCCUGCAGAUCACAGGCACUUUCGCCCAUCCGCCUUCUGACCUGGGCAUCUCUAAGCUUUCCUUUUGACUCCUUCUCUCUCUCAAAUCGAUGAAAAGGAGAAAUAGCCUUUAUACAUUGCAUUGUGUAUUGUCCCUAGUAGAACAGCUUGUUUGACAGCCAAGUCGGCCAAGUUCUCGCCCCCUCUCUCUCCUUCUCGUUCCUUACCCCAUCUCUCUAGCCUCUUCUCACUUUUCCUUCUGUAUUUCCUUAAUUCAGCUUUGCUUCAACCCACUGUUUGCUGGAACGUUGCCGGAGCUGCGAAUGCAAAAAAGAGCCCUUUGCAGCCCAGAGCCCUGGAGCACAAGCCCCAGGGGGAGACAAGAUGCAUAAAUCCAGACACCAAGGUCAAAGUUCUCUGAACACAGUGACUUCAUCAACCCCGGAGGAAAGAGCCCCUUGAAGACGCUGACCUGUGCAAGGUCGCCCAGGGAGGCAGUGGCCUCCUCGGAGGCUGGGCUCAGGGGUCAGAACCCCCUCUCUGAGCAGCACUCGCUUCACAGACAGAGAGGCAGAAAUUUGCUUCCACCGCGUCCUUUGCCUCAAUAUGAAGGCAUCAUCAGACCGGGUGGAGAACAGUUUAAGCCACAGGAUUAUUUACUCACCCAAUUAGUCAAGCUUGGUCAAUGGUGCUCUUUCAGCCAUCCUGGAGCCUGUGGGAACAGGGCUUCUAAAAUGACAACUAUGUCGGGAAGGCUGUGGUCCAGAGCCGUUUUUGCCGGCUGUAGGCAGGGUCUCUGGAGCCAAAGGGAGCACACAGCUCUUUUUGAAACUGAAGAUGUUUAUGCUUGAGGUGGAACCGAAUUCUGUCUAGGCAAGCGGUGUGCUUAUGUGGACAAAGCAGAGAAUGACACAGUAACUCCUGGUGGAAACACCUACAAAAACCAGAGUGAGCUAGAGUAAGGAACUGGCUCGUGGCAACAGUGGCGUGGUUCGUGCCAGAUCCCAAAGCUACCUUCCUGC